rnacentral:tRNA from 1 species
GGGCCCGUGGUCUAGUCCGGCUAUGACACUUCCUUGACGUGGAAGGGGUCCCCGGUUCGAAUCCGGGCGGGCCCA